rnacentral:tRNA from 1 species
GGCUGGGUGGCAGAGUGGUUUAUGCGAAGGACUGCAAAUCCUUUUAUACCGGUUCAAUUCCGGUCCCGGCCU